rnacentral:rRNA from 1 species
UCUUGAGUCUAGUUGAGGUAGGCGGAAUGUAGUAUGUAGCGAUGAAAUGCUUAGAUAUACUACAGAACACCCAUGGUGAAGACAGCUUACCAAACUAGCACUGACGCUCAGGCACGAAAGCGUGGGGAGCAAACAGGAUUAGAUACCCUGGUAGUCACGCCGUAAACGUUGAUCACUCGUUGUUGGCAAUACACCGUCAGCGACUAAGCAAAAGCAUUAAGUGAUCCACCUGAGGAGUACGAUCGCAAGGUUGAAACUCAAAGGAAUUGACGGGGGCCCGCACAAGCGGAGGAGCAUGUGGUUUAAUUCGAUGAUACGCGAGGAACCUUACCCGGGCUUAAAUGUAGCGUGCAUUGGUGUGAAAACACCAUUUCCCUCGGGACCCGCUACAAGGUGCUGCAUGGUUGUCGUCAGCUCGUGCCGUGAGGUGUCGGGUUAAGUCCCAUAACGAGCGCAACCCCUAUCUUUAGUUGCUAACAGGUAACGCUGAGGACUCUAAAGAAACUGCCCGCGCAAGCGGUGAGGAAGGUGGGGAUGACGUCAAAUCAGCACGGCCCUUAUGUCCGGGGCUACACACGUGCUACAAUGGCCGGUACAGUGGGCAGCUCAUGCGCGAGCAUUUGCUAAUCUCUAAAACCGGUCUCAGUACGGAUCGGAGUCUGCAACCCGACUCCGUGAAGCUGGAUUCGCUAGUAAUCGCAC